GAUGAACGCUGGCGGCGUGCCUAAUACAUGCAAGUCGAGCGAACAGACGAGGAGCUUGCUCCUCUGACGUUAGCGGCGGACGGGUGAGUAACACGUGGAUAACCUACCUAUAAGACUGGGAUAACUUCGGGAAACCGGAGCUAAUACCGGAUAAGAUAUUGAACCGCAGGGUUCAAUAGUGGAAGACGGUUUUGCUGGCACUUAUAGAUGGAUCCGCGCCGCAUUAGCUAGUUGGUAAGGUAACGGCUUACCAAGGCAACGAUGCGUAGCCGACCUGAGAGGGUGAUCGGCCACACUGGAACUUGGACACGGUCCAGACUCCUACGGGAGGCAGCAGUAGGGAAUCUUCCGCAAUGGGCGAAAGCCUGACGGAGCAACGCCGCGUGAGUGAUGAAGGUCUUCGGAUCGUAAAACUCUGUUAUUAGGGAAGAACAAAUGUGUAAGUAACUAUGCACGUCUUGACGGUACCUAAUCAGAAAGCCACGGCUAACUACGUG
rnacentral:rRNA from 1 species